ACGUAGGGAGCGAGCGUUGUCCGGAAUUACUGGGCGUAAAGGGUGCGUAGGCGGCUUGGCAAGUCAGAUGUGAAAUCCCCGGGCUUAACUCGGGAGUUGCAUUUGAAACUGCUAGGCUUGAGUGCAGGAGAGGAAAGCGGAAUUCCUAGUGUAGCGGUGAAAUGCGUAGAUAUUAGGAGGAACACCAGUGGCGAAGGCGGCUUUCUGGACUGUAACUGACGCUGAGGCACGAAAGCGUGGGGAGCAAACAG
rnacentral:rRNA from 1 species